rnacentral:rRNA from 1 species
UCCCGAACACGGAAGUUAAGCCCUCCAGCGCCGAUGGUACUUGGGACGUUCGUCCCUGGGAGAGUAGGACGCCGCCGGAU